rnacentral:rRNA from 1 species
UGGCAGGUACAGAGGGGUGCUACCGGGUGACCGGAUGCCGAUCUCGAAAACCUGUCCCAGUUCGGACUGGAGUCUGCAACCCGACUCCACGAAGUUGGAUUCGCUAGUAAUCGCGCAUCAGCCAUGGCGCGGUGAAUACGUUCCCGGGCCUUGUACACACCGCCCGUCAAGCCAUGGGAGCCGGGGGCGCCUGAAGUCCGGGACCGCGAGGACCGGCCUAGGGCGAAACUGGUGACUGGGGCUAAGUCGUAACAAGGUAUC